GACGAACGCUGGCGGCGUGCCUAAUACAUGCAAGUCGAGCGAAGUUUUUCUGGUGCUUGCCCUAGAAAAACUUAGCGGCGAACGGGUGAGUAACACGUAAAGAACCUGCCUCAUAGACUGGGACAACUAUUGGAAACGAUAGCUAAUACCGGAUAACAGUAUUUCUCGCAUGAGAGAUAUUUAAAAGUUGGUUAUGCUAACACUAUGAGAUGGCUUUGCGGUGCAUUAGCUAGUUGGUGGGGUAAAGGCCCACCAAGGCGACGAUGCAUAGCCGACCUGAGAGGGUGAUCGGCCACACUGGGACUGAGACACGGCCCAGACUCCUACGGGAGGCAGCAGUAGGGAAUCUUCCGCAAUGGGCGAAAGCCUGACGGAGCAACGCCGCGUGAGCGAAGAAGGAUUUCGGUUCGUAAAGCUCUGUUGUUAGGGAAGAAUGGAUAUGUAGUAACUAUACAUGUAAGAGACGGUACCUAACCAGAAAGCCACGGCUAACUACGUG
rnacentral:rRNA from 1 species